CUUGAUCGAGCCCAGCCACAGCGGCUGCUCGUCGCCGUGCUCCUGGCCGUAGGUAGCGAGGAGCGCCUGCGCCUC
rfam:Streptomyces glauciniger strain CGMCC 4.1858 genome assembly, contig: Ga0079895_111